AUGUGUGGCACCAGGAUCAAAUAAGACAUAAGCAUAAAUAUUGGAUACAGGAAUAGUACCUGUCACCACUGCAUUAGAAGCUUGUGCAUCCUGUUGUGUAAGUGCGAACACCCUUCCUUGAGUCUUUGGCCUCUGGCUUCCUUCCAUUGCCCGCGUAGAUUUAAUCUCAUUUCUUUGUGGGCAAUCUGCAAUUUUAUGAUCUUUCUGUCCGCAAUGAAAACAAGAACCUGUAACCCAGGGACAAUUUGCAAAUUCAUGAUUACCGCCACAUCUUGAACACUUCCCACUCUCAUUUUUGAGAUUUCUAUCUUUAUUUGGCUUCUGAGCUGGAUUCCUGAAAUUCUUGUUUCCCCCUUUAAAUUCAGCAGGUCUGUUUCUUUUCUUUUGGUUUCUUUCUCUUUCAGCAAAAGCUUCGUUGACUUCCCUUUCAAUGAUUAAAGCUUUAUUCACCACAGCUGCAUAGGUAGUCAACUCAUAGGGUACCNN
rnacentral:lncRNA from 1 species